CUCUUGCGACUGCUGCCCCUGACAUUUGUACGGAUCAUCACUCGAAGGUUUUCUGAGCCCAGUGGAUUUACAGUGGCAUUCAGCUGCCUGGGGAG
rnacentral:lncRNA from 1 species